AUUGAACGCUGGCGGCAGGCUUAACACAUGCAAGUCGAGCGAGCGGCGGACGGGUGAGUAAUGUAUGGGGACUGCCCGAUAGAGGGGGAUAACUACUGGAAACGGUAGCUAAUACCGCAUACUAUCGGAUAACCCAUAUGGGAUUAGCUAGUAGGUGAGGUAAUGGCUCACCAAGGCAACGAUCCGUAGCUGGUUUGAGAGGACGACCAGCCACACUGGGACUGAGACACGGCCCAGACUCCUACGGAGGAAGCAGUGGGGAAUUUUGGACAAUGGGGGAAACCCUGAUCCAGCCAGCCCGCUUGUAUGAUGAAGGCCUUCGGGUUGUAAAGUACUUUUGGCAGAGAAGCGGUAUCUGCAGAAUAAGCACCGGCUAACUACGUGCCAGCAGCCGCGGUAAUAC
rnacentral:rRNA from 1 species